CCUUUGGCUGCAUAUUUGAAAGGCAAUACACCUCCACUGUAUUCAUAUACAAAAUAAACGGAGAAAUGAGGUACUGUCAUCAACCCAACAGGACAGUAUUGGCAAUCAGCAGUAAUGCUAACAACUAGGAACACUGAUAAAUGCCAUGUUAUUAAUAUUUCAAAAAUUCUUUGUAAAUGCACAGACAUUCGAAGGAUAUAAUGACAGGUAACUGCAGAAUUUUCCUAAUAUCAGGUUUAGCUUUAGAUCCUCCUAGCUGAUGGUGUGUGAGAUCUCACAGACUCCUGGGGCCUAGAAGACCUCAUGUGUAAAGCUUCUUGAGCUGGAUUAGAAUGACAUACUCUCUAAACCCUCCAAGGUGGAGGUGUGAAUGGUCCUGGAGUUUAUGAAAAUCAGAUUAUUCAGGCCCGGCAGAGAGUCUUAGCUGUUGUUCUGGUGAAUUUUCACAGAGAGUAAUUACCAGAAAAAGAAGAUAAAUCACUGUCCAGUCUUAGAAAAUCUAAAUAGGAUUCACAAUAACUGCUUUCAACAAUGCAGUGCCUCACUGAAUUAAAAAAAAAAAAAAGGUGAGAGAAAUCACUCACACUCCAGUGAAACAGUAAUUCCGUAAGAAGGGCAGGAGAGACGGGGCAAAAGUUUGGUAGCAGUUGGUGCUGGCAAUCAAUCAGUGGCUCCUUUGAUUACAUAUGUUUGAUCAUAUAGAAACUUUUAUUAUUUUUUAAUAGAAACUUUUAUUAUUUUUUAAUUUAAAUUCAAUUAGCCAACUUACAGAGAUCACAUAGAAACUUUAAAUGGUAUAAACACCCUGUUUCAUAAAUAUUUUGUAGCAAUAUCUAGUAUUGAUAUGUUCUUGAAGAGAAAUUAUUAUCUCUUUGAUUUCUAAACUGAAUUUGAAGGGAAGUAAUAAGCGCAUCAUUCUGGUAGUUUUGUAAUUACGUUUACUCUUAACCCACCCCAUGCUAAAACAAAAUUCAGCGUGGUUCAGCUAAAGCUGACUCAUACCUAAACAGCUCAAGCACCUAUGAAAAGGGGAAAUUUGAUUUUAAAUUGUCUCGAGUUUCUUAACUGGAAAAAGUCCACGUGGACAGAUCUCUCUUUAAGAACUAGGCUGCUUGUGUUCUUCUCUACAGGCACAAACCUUCCUGUUUGAAUUAAGUUCACUUAUUUUUAUCCUGGUUGCCCUCUACAGUGACUUCCCAUUAAGUUGAAUUACUUGCCUUCUAUUUUUGCCCAUUCUGUACAUGGAAUGCAUAUGAAUAGGGGGCUCCUGGCUGGCUUAGUCAGUAGAGCUGUGACUCUCCAUCUCUGGGUUGUGAGUUCAAGCCUUAUGUUGAGUGCGGAGAUUACUUAAAAAAGAAAAAAGCAUGUAAGUGGAGCUGAGCUUGGAUCACACAGAAUUAACACAGAAAAUAAAUUCAAUAACUUUUUCUUUAAAGAUGAAUUAAAAAUCUGUGUAAUUGUUUUCAUCCACUAGAGGUUGAAAUCAGAAAUCACUGUAAGUUUAAUGUUCAAUUAGUUUAACUUUCAAAAAGAAUAAAACAGGAUAUUUGCCCUUUGGUCAAAACUAUUUCAUGUGUUAACACUUACAUAUAUUACAUUUUUUCUUUUCUAAUCUGUCAUUCUUUUAUCUCUCUUACUUAAUUCUAGAAGUUGCUAGUCUUAAAGGGAGGGUUCAGAUAUUUCUCUGUGAUAUCUUCUAAGGGCACCAUCCCCACUGGCUCUAAUCUUUGUGGAUCAGAUGGCAUCCAGAAAAUCGGAAUCCUAAAUGCAUUCUGGAAUCUGGGAAUGCAGGCUUACAGUCAGCAUGAGAAUGGCCCAUGAGAUCACUUGUCUCUUCUACUAGUGACCUGCCUCCCACAGAAGACACACAAGGUGGAUGUGUCUCUGAGUAGAGGUGAGAGCUCCAGCUGGCAGCCUGUGGGGGCCGGUUGCGAAGGCCUCCCAUGCCCUGCAGGGACUUCAGGCUCUACUGAGGAGGCAGCAGAGAGCCAUCGCAGGCUUCCAGGGAGGUGAACCGUGUGCUCCAAGGUGACUCUGAAGGCAGGGUGGCGAACGGAUUGAGGGGAGAAGGGAGAAAAACUGGAAGCAGAGACCAGCUGGAAGGCCAUGCAGCUGGGCAGGCAAGUCUUACUGGGAAUGUUUUUCCCACGUUAGAUACCUAAGAAUUGCUUCACAGAGCCUCCCAUCAAGAGCCUCCAACUGAACAGGUCUGAGGUGGAGGCAGGAAUCUUCAUUCUAACAAGCACUCCAGGUGAUCUUCAGGCAAGUGGCCCUCACACCUUGAGAACCACCUUUACUGAAGAUCUUCUUUUUUAUAAUUCUGCUAAACCCAGGUCAUUGACAAAAGUCACACAGAGAGAGAGAGAGGCAGAGACACAGGUAGAGGGAGAAGCAGG